UACGUAGGGCGCAAGCGUUAUCCGGAAUUAUUGGGCGUAAAGAGCUCGUAGGCGGUUUGUCGCGUCUGCCGUGAAAGUCCGGGGCUCAACUCCGGAUCUGCGGUGGGUACGGGCAGACUAGAGUGAUGUAGGGGAGACUGGAAUUCCUGGUGUAGCGGUGAAAUGCGCAGAUAUCAGGAGGAACACCGGUGGCGAAGGCGGAUCUCUGGGCCAUUACUGACGCUGAGAAGCGAAAGCAUGGGGAGCGAACAGG
rnacentral:rRNA from 1 species